AAAUCAGAAUUAUCUGUUUCUACUUCCCAGUCAACGUUUGAUGGAGACAAAAUGUUGGAGCCUGCUCCUACCGGCAAAUAAACGGACUCAGGGUCUUCACGAAUAUGCAGCACAGCCAGCUGGGAUCCAGGCAGUCUGUUUUUGGUCUCAGCCUGGUUUCCCUCACUUCUUCGAUCAGGAAGUGCAGAAAGCACUAUCUCUGCUGCUCUGCAUCCCAGAGAUUCAUCCUCUGGAGACCCAGCUUCCUCUAUUGUUUCAGCACUCUGGGCAGGUUCUGUGAGAUAAGACAAAUCAAAGGGAGGUGUGUACGGUGCCAGCGACUGCUUCAGAGAAUCUUCCUCCAAAGGAGGGUCACCACCAUACAGGAAGUGUUCAGGCUCUCUCAGUAAAUCUUCAUCGAUAUUCUGGCCCAUUACAUCAUAUUCAAAAUCACCCCACGAGGCUUCAGAUGAGCAGAUAUCUUGCUUCCCUAGGUCCCCAUCAACUGGCGUUUCCGGAUGGCCUUCGGAUAAUGUCAGUUUACUCAUGUCAUCUAUUGUUCCCGUGGAUGUGUUGAGACCUGAGGCAUCGCUGAAACUGUGGUCAAAGGCAGCUUCGCUUAUAUCCAGACAAGUGUCUGAGGCUAGCAAAGCAUCAGGAACCAAGGCAGGAUUCUCUGUGGAUAAAUGUGGAUCACCAUCAAACAAAGCUCUUGCACCAGGCUGACUUUCAGGAGAAAAGCUGUCUGAUAUCCAAGAACCGUCACCUUCUGGAGUUGGCUCUUGUUCUGGAAGACGGAAAGUCCAAGAUCAAGAUCCUGACAUACUCGCUGUCUGAUGAGCACCUGCCUCCUGAUUCAUAGGCUGCCAUCUUUUUGCUGUGUCCUCACGUGACAGAAAAGGUGAGAAAUAAGAAAGGCUGCUGACUUUACCAUCUGAGGCCACACAUCUGCUGAAAUGGAGAUAAUUAACAUCACUAGAAACAGCAAGAUGACAAUAUAAUGUCUAAGUAGUGACAUGUUUUUGCACAUUUCCAGCCCCUUUAAAUAUCCACACACACAGGAAGCACAAAAGGAAGCACAGAGCCUUCUCCAUCUCCUACACACUCUGAAAUAAUCUGUCAGAAGAUCCUCAUCCUGCCGUGCUGGCUUACUCUGGAUCAAGAGACAAAGACUCCAGCUCUAUCUCUGAUGGACCGAGUAGGAAGAAUCAGCAUGAGUCAACCCACCAGGUUUCCCAGAGCUUAAUCCAGAAGGGACCCAAACACUAGGGCUGCUGGAGCUACCUUCACCAAUACAGGGGUAAUCAUAGUACCUUUUACUGGGAGGAUUAAGUGAGAUAAUGCUUACUCAACUGCCAGGUACACGGGGAAAUUUGAACACAGAGACAUGCAUAGAGGGAAGGUGAUGUGAAGAUGAAGGCAGAGAUCCAGGUGAUGCUUCUAUGCACCA
ensembl:lncRNA PCA3 prostate cancer associated 3